rnacentral:rRNA from 1 species
CCUACGGGGGGCUGCAGUGGGGAAUAUUGGACAAUGGGGGGAACCCUGAUCCAGCCAUGCCGCGUGUGUGAAGAAGGCCCUCGGGUUGUAAAGCACUUUCAGUGAGGAAGAACGCCUGGUGGUUAAUACCCAUCAGGAAAGACAUCACUCACAGAAGAAGCACCGGCUAACUCCGUGCCAGCAGCCGCGGUAAUACGGAGGGUGCGAGCGUUAAUCGGAAUUACUGGGCGUAAAGCGCGCGUAGGUGGCUUGAUAAGCCGGUUGUGAAAGCCCCGGGCUCAACCUGGGAACGGCAUCCGGAACUGUCAAGCUAGAGUGCCGGAGAGGAAGGUAGAAUUCCCGGUGUAGCGGUGAAAUGCGUAGAGAUCGGGAGGAAUACCAGUGGCGAAGGCGGCCUUCUGGACUGACACUGACACUGAGGUGCGAAAGCGUGGGUAGCAAACAGGAUUAGAUACCCUAGUAGUC